rnacentral:rRNA from 1 species
ACCUCCGGACUGGGGUUCGCAAGCUUCACGGCGAACGUACCUCGGGAAGUUGGUUAAACCUCACUAUUUAGAGGAAGGUGAAGUCGUAACAAGGUCCCCGUAGGUGAACCUGCAGAAGGAUC